GCAAUGAUUUUUCCAGUAAAAAAUUGUUGAUUAGUUGGGGACGACAAGAAAAAUUCAAAGUCAAUUCAAUUCAAAUUCAAAAAUUCAAAUUGAUUUGACAGUGAGAAAGAAGAAAUGUCAGAUUAAUAUAGGGGUUCAUUCAAGAAUUUUUCCAAAUAUUUUUCGAUGAAGUUCUCUAAUCAAAGUUCUAGGAAAUAACUCUUAUGAUAUAUCCUUGAUUGAUAAUUAAUUACUAAGAUUAAAUUUUAAAAAAAGAACGGGCUAAUUAUAUUCGAAUACAUAUUUUGCUGGACCUAUUCUGAUGGUUGCAAAUAACUCUUUCGAAUUUCCUCUGGGAAAAGCUCUACUUUAAAACAUUCAAUUUCUCCGAUAAAAUUGCUUCUCUCUUCGUAAUACUGACGUAAUUUCUAAAAAAAACCUCGAUUGAAAUGGAUCUGCAUUGAAAUAAUGACAUUGUACAAAUAGAAUACGUAGCCAAAAAUAAAUUUCCAAAAUAUCCUCCCUGAAAAAAUUUAAAUCCCUAAAAAACGAUUGCUAAUCAUGUUCGUACCAAGUGCAAUAAAAAAAUGAAUCUGAUAUUUCGUCUCGAAAGAAUUAAAAAAAAAGCAAACAUUCAAAUAAGGGGUAAUUGUAUUGCAUAAUAAAAAUACGUAAUGAAACAUCGAUUUCCAAUAUUUCUAGUUGCGUUUCGUUUUAGUUAACGAACGGAUUAAGCCGCAAACGAAAGAACCACGACGACAAUCCCGGAUUACGCACGAGAAUCCGCUUACUCUGAAGCUUCAAUUAGCACGCGAACUGAUAAUUGAUGAAGUGCUAUAGGUGCCUGGAGUCUAGGGUCGACGACUGCGUCCAGUUCGCAUUUAUGCACUAGAAUGCAGCUGAAAAGCAACUAGGAAUGUUAAUGCUCUCAUAUGCAUACGCACAGUCUGUCCGACGACCCAGUCUCUACUUUAUUGCGAGACUUCAUUAGACAUUCGUACGAGUUUAUUGCGAACCAGUCAUUAUGUCACAUUAGUCUAUGUUAUUGUUUUAUUUUCAAUUUUACUGAGCGGUCGAAUAAAUUUUAAUUUAUUCGACGGAAAGGAUUCGUGAAAUAAAAAAUGGAAUUGAUCCUUUCGAUCUCUUUUAGUUCGAUGGAAUAAUAGUCCGGGCAUCAGGGUAUGGAACUACUACACCUCAGACCAGACCUGGGCGACUCGCAGUAAUUGUUUACGGAUUUUUUGGAUGCUCAGGAGGAAUACUAUUCUUCAAUUUAUUCCUGGAGCGAA